rnacentral:rRNA from 1 species
GGUGGUGCAUGGCCGUUCUUAGUUGGUGGAGUGAUUUGUCUGGUUAAUUCCGAUAACGAACGAGACCUUAACCUGCUAACUAGUUCUCAAUACUCUGUAUUCUGCAACUUCUUAGAGGGACUAUGUAAAUCAACUACAUGGAAGUUUGAGGCAAUAACAGGUCAGUGAUGCCCUUAUAUGUCCUGGGCUGCACGCGUGCUACACUGAUGCAUACAACAAGUGCCUAGCCAGACAUGGUAUGGCAAUCUCGAAUAUGCAUCGUGAUGGGGAUAGAUCUUUGCAAUU